CUGCCAACUUCUGCAAGUGUUCACCUGACACCAGCAGGUCUUUCUAGAUUAAUUAUUAUGCAGAAUACCUGUUAUGCAGAGAACAUUGUCUUCUGCUAUAGGACAAAGUCAUUAUAAAACCUGUAUCAGCUGCCAAAGUUGCAGAACCCACCUCAAGUUUGUUAGUCUGGAUAUCAUAGAAUCAUAGAAUGGUUAGGGUUGGAAAGAACCUGAAGAUCACCUAGUUCGAUUUCAGCCUUUCACACAACAUAUGGGAGACCUUUCUCUUUUAAAAGAGAGCUUUUUUUUAUAAAUCAAGGACAAACAAAGUUGAAAUUGUAAUAAAAUUGAAAAGAAAUUUUGAGACUAUUUCAGUAGUAUAUACCAGAUUUCUCCAAAGAAACAACCAGAACAAUUUUGCAUUCCAAAGCCAGAAAGCUGACAGUUAAGAAAAAUAUAAUUUCUUGUUAUAAUUGUUGUGAGAAAACAGAUGUAAAAAUGUGUUGUAUGUAUCCACCUUUUGAAAAGUCACUUGUCUAUAAAGGUAGUUUCACUAUAAAGGUAGUGAAACUUUAAUGGGCAAGUUUAUGACUUUCUUCACUGCUGUUUGGAAUUCCUUCAGGAACAUUUUGACUUUUGGAGAGAUUUCAGCGGCUGUAUUUGCUUAUGGAAAAAAAAGCAAUUUCAUGAUCCCUCUUGGAAGAGUCAAAAUAUUGUGAAACAACUGUAAACAUCACAGAGGCCAAGAAAUAAACUCUCAAAUACUGUACAUAAACAUGUAUACACAUUUAUAAAUAGACAGCAAUUUUUCAUUUGUAAAGAACUACUGAAUAUUUUAGCAUAUGCAUUUUAUGUUUAUGGCUGCUGCUGCUGCUUUAUUUGUUCCUCUAAACAUAUUGGAAGAAUUCAGACAGAGGGAAAAGCACAGUGGCAGAAACUCUAAGCAGAACAGUGCCAAAAUCUGAGAGCUUGAUGGGUGUAGGCAUUUUUGUCAAUACUUGUAUGUGAAACAUACAGUUGACGCCAGUCAAAAAAUACACUUCCUCACAGCAGGGUAGUAUGGAAUAGUCCUCACCAAGAUUCCAAUUUGCUGCAUAGAGAGAAAACACAAACAAUCUUCUGAAUCUGAAGAGUUUAUGAUAUUAUGUGAAGACAAAACUAUAGACAGCUGAGACAGAGGAGAACAAUUAGACAGCCUUAGCUAUUGUGAUAAGCAUUAAUCUCAGCUCCUUUUUAAGAGGGAAGGGGACAGGCUGUAACAAAAGAUAUUCUUCAGUUAUCUACUACAUAAUUAGAUUUAAAAUUCAGCUUACCGAAAAUUGGGUAUAUAAAGUUAAAAAAGCAAAGGUGAAAAUUUGUAUUUCUGCAGUACCUGAUAAAUAGUCUAAUUUGGAUAGAAAUGAAAGUUGGUAUGAUUUCUAAGUUUUCAGAACAAAUAUGGAUGUUUUCAAACUGUAGAACUGAGAAUAAUAGCCUUGAUCCAAUACAGAAUUGCAAAGGAAGAGAAUUAGAAGUCUAUUUUGGAACCUGGGUCAAGUCAGGCUGAGAACUGUCUUGUGAAACAGCUUCAGGACAGCAAUAAUAAUAAAAGUCUGAAGUCGGAUUCCCAAGACUAAUGCCAGCAUCUUCCCUUCAGUAUCUCUCUAGCUAACAGUUGUGUUCAUACACAAGUCAGUGCAGAAUCCACAUAGGUGACACUAAGCUGCAUUGACUCUUUCCAGGGUGACAGAUGCAAAAUGUAGUAAAAUUUCAUACUGAUCAAGAAAAGAUGAAGCUCCAUGUAUGAAGCUGCAUCAACCAGACUACUUAAGGUGACACAAAAAUUAUGAUUAUAAUUUUAUAAUAACCCAGCACUGCCAAGUCCACCACUAAACCAUGGCCCUGAGCACCACAUCUACAUGUCUUUUAAAUACCUCCAGGGAUGUUGGCUUAACCACUUCCCUGGGCAGCCUGUUCCAAUGCUUGACAACUCUUUAGGUGAAGAAAUUUUUCCUAAUAUCCACUCUAAACCUCAGGAUAUUUAUCUGCAACUUCAUGCUAUCCCCUUCUGCACACAAAUCUUAAAAAAACCCCAACAAAAUAAACUCCAAAAUCGCUCUGAAUACAAGACAACUGACUUGGCAUUUCAAACUGAAUUAGUUAGAAAAAUUACAUAAUGUAGUUGGAACAUCAGAAUGGCAGUAUCUAGUCAGACCAAAAACUGAUCUAGCUUUGCAUACUUCCAGCUAACCUAACACCGAAUGCCUAGGGAGGGACAGAAGAAUUCACCAGUCACAGUGUGGUGAUGCUUCCCUGAACUCAUACUCUCUCCCCUUGAACUCAGGCAAAAUUAUCAGAACCUGCAAAAUCUUGAGGAAUGGAGAUUUUCAUCUUACCUCUGCAUGACAUGAGUAACCAGUGCUUUCAGUUUGCUUUGAAUCUGGUUCCUUAAUACCACCUAGUUCUUUUACUGGAUAGGUCACUGAAUAAUCACAGUCUUUCUAUGCCAUUGUUUUUUUUCUAACAUGGUAUCUUCAUUUGCUAAUCCUUUUCUAGGCUAAAGAAGCCAAUCUACCUGCUGUGACUGGCAUGAAAGCCCUUCUCUGCUUCCACUGUCUUUAUCAUUUGUCUCCAAAACAUUUCCAAUUAUACUAAUGCUGUUCAAGGAGAAUGAAAGAGAUGAGACAGAUAACAUUAAUAACACAGAGAAGCACCAUGGAUUUAUUCAAUCACACAGUGAUGUUCUUUUCAUUCCCUAAAUUUUAUUUCCUGAAGUUAAAGCUUACAGUGCUGUAAGCAGCAGACCUUCUGUUUUAACUGGGCAAAGCCUGCGCUUCAGCAUGAAGGGAUGUUAUCUUUAAAUGACAAAACUAUGCUAACAUUAAAUGAUCAUUAAAAUUAAAAUGACAUCAUGUACAAUAGGGCAUUAAAAUAUGCAUGUAAUUCAGAAUGGAUUGCUUGAUUAGACUGUACAAUCUCACAGACAACUACUUACGGGAGUUGAAAGCACACUGCAUACCUUAACUGCUUAACAAUUUCUGUUACAAGUUCCAUUGUUUCCCCUUGUUUUCAAGUCUCUGUUAUUUGGGAUGGAAUCACCAUGAGCCACACACAGACUUUAUCUGCUGGAGUUCUAAUUAGAUAUGGUUAAGAUAGGGAGAAUUUGAAUGGUAAGAUUUGCUGCUUCCCUUUUCAUGUGGCUUCCAUGAGGAACUUCAUUUCCUCAAAAAAUUUCUGGUAGCGUGACAAACAAAAAAAAUCCCCAAAUUCCAAACCAUUGUGUGCUUUGGACACUGCCUCCCUCUGCCAUUCCUGAGAAGAAAUGGUUACCAUCACUACGCACACACUGAAACACUGAGGGGAAAACAAACAAAACUCGCUUUGCCUACUCAUUGAAAUCUAGACAAGUCUUGAAAACUAAGAA
rnacentral:lncRNA from 1 species